rnacentral:rRNA from 1 species
AGCAGCCGCGGUAAUUCCAGCUCCAAUAGCGUAUAUUAAAGUUGUUGCAGUUAAAAAGCUCGUAGUUGAACUUCAGGCCUGUCCAGAUGGUCCGCCUUAAUUGGUGUGUACUGCCCUUGGGUGGGUCCUACCUUCUGGCGAAGCGGCAUGGCCUUAAUUGGUUGUGUUGGGGAACCAGGACUUUUACUGUGAAAAAAUUAGAGUGUUCAAAGCAGGCAAAUAUGCUCGAAUACAUUAGCAUGGAAUAAUGGAAUAGGACGAUGGUUCUAUUUUGUUGGUUCUAGGACCGUUGUAAUGAUUAAUAGGGAUAGUUGGGGGCAUUAGUAUUCAAUUGUCAGAGGUGAAAUUCUUGGAUUUAUUGAAGACUAACUACUGCGAAAGCAUUUGCCAAGGAUGUUUUCAUUAAUCAAGAACGAAAGUUAGGGGAUCGAAGACGAUCAGAUACCGUCG